AUUUAGAUUACUGAUUCGAUACCGUUGUACACAAAACACGUCACGGACAGUUCGCAGGCUCAAACUAGUAUUUCCCCAGUAUACGUUAACCUCGAAUUAUUAAAUUAUUCGAGCGUGGAACGCGCUGAAAAUAAAGUGGUCAGGGAAAUUUUGUCAUUGAAAUUAUUUUCAUGGGGAUCAAUUCAUUUAUCUCAUUCGAUUUCCAACUCAUCCCGGUAUUUCUGUCACAUAAAUGUUGAAUGGAUGAAAUUUUACAAAAAAGAUGAAUGAAAUCGGAUUUUUUCCGACUCUUCAACUUAUUCUGUUCAGGAAUCUUCGGUAAAAAUUCUGUUUCUCGAAUUCGAAAGCGAAAAAAGUAACGAAUACGAUGACGAUACAAAAAAUAACGAUAUUCUUACCUCAUUGAGACAAUCAAAACAACACCAGGGGCGUAGUUAGGGGCUAGGGCCCCUCGCGCCAUCUGACAUUUGUUUUCAAAUUCGAAGUAAUCGAAAUUUUUGAAUCAUUUCUGAAACAUUUAGUGCACAUAGUGAAGAUAAAUGUUUCUUUCAUACUUAAUGUGUUCAUAGCUAAUAAUUCUGUUAAUAGAUCUGUGGGAAAAUCGAUUUGUUAUCAAAAUUUCAAUCCCUGAUCCAAUAUAUCACAAUGAAGGCGCAAAAUAUAAUUCGCUUUUGCCCCCAGGGACGCUGCCCCCCUCCCCCCUGGAGCCCUACCCACUCCUGUCAACGAGACCCAACUGUUCUAACAACACAAUAUACAAUUUCAAUAGACAUCUAAUAGAAUUUUCAACCGAAUUCCCUCGAUUUUCCUGUAGAAUCCAGUCAUCCAUGACAGCCAGAGACAAAAGAAUAUUUAAACAAUUUGCUCAUUAGACAGAUCCGAGGAUUCGUUCUCCAUACGAUUGUCAAUUGUAUGAGAGAGACAGUGCUGGGCAACGUUUUCACAGUAAAUACAUUGGCUCUCGAUAUAACCACGUAAACAGUGGAUGAUAAUGCAAUUUGGAUAAUACCCAGACGUACUCAAUGAUGAUAUAGGGUGAUCCAAACGUCAUGUGAUGUAGGUGCAGAUGUGGAUAGGUAUUCACACGUAUGAGCAUGGGGUGUUAUUCGGAGACUAUUGAAAAUCAUCGAGGGGAGU